AUUGAACGCUGGCGGCAGGCCUAACACAUGCAAGUCGAGCGGAUGAAGGGAGCUUGCUCCUGGAUUCAGCGGCGGACGGGUGAGUAAUGCCUAGGAAUCUGCCUGGUAGUGGGGGAUAACGUCCGGAAACGGGCGCUAAUACCGCAUACGUCCUGAGGGAGAAAGUGGGGGAUCUUCGGACCUCACGCUAUCAGAUGAGCCUAGGUCGGAUUAGCUAGUUGGUGGGGUAAAGGCCUACCAAGGCGACGAUCCGUAACUGGUCUGAGAGGAUGAUCAGUCACACUGGAACUGAGACACGGUCCAGACUCCUACGGGAGGCAGCAGUGGGGAAUAUUGGACAAUGGGCGAAAGCCUGAUCCAGCCAUGCCGCGUGUGUGAAGAAGGUCUUCGGAUUGUAAAGCACUUUAAGUUGGGAGGAAGGGCAGUAAGUUAAGACCUUGCUGUUUGGACGUGACCAACAGAAUAAGCACCGACUAACUUCGU
rnacentral:rRNA from 1 species